rnacentral:tRNA from 1 species
GCAGAGGUAACCAAGCCAGGCCAACGGUGCUGGACUCAAGAUCCAGUCUCGAAGGAGACAAAAGUACACAAGGUACCUUUUGCCUGAUUCCGUGGGUUCGAAUCCCACCCUCUGCA